AAAGUUCUGUUGUCAGGGACGAACACGUACCGUUCGAAUAGGGCGGUACCUUGACGGUACCUGACGAGAAAGCCACGGCUAACUACGUGCCAGCAGCCGCGGUAAUACGUAGGUGGCAAGCGUUGUCCGGAUUUAUUGGGCGUAAAGCGCGCGCAGGCGGCUAUGUAAGUCUGGUGUUAAAGCCCGGAGCUCAACUCCGGUUCGCAUCGGAAACUGUGUAGCUUGAGUGCAGAAGAGGAAAGCGGUAUUCCACGUGUAGCGGUGAAAUGCGUAGAGAUGUGGAGGAACACCAGUGGCGAAGGCGGCUUUCUGGUCUGUAACUGACGCUGAGGCGCGAAAGCGUGGGGAGCAAACAGGAUUAGAUAC
rnacentral:rRNA from 1 species